UGGUGGAAAAUGUCUAGCUGUUUAUAACAUAGCAAAAUGCGAUUGUAUUGGACGUUUUAUUGGUAGUAAUUGCAGCAUAGAUCUCUGUGAUUUUCUCAUGUGCAAUCAUGGAACAUGCGUUCAGAAUGAACAAGGAAAAUUUUACUGCAAGUGCAAGGAUGGUUACCAUGGAAAUCACUGUGACGAGGAAAAGAAAAUACCAAACGGUAUAUAAGUGAACUCCUAGCUUUGAUAUGUAUCUAUAUAUAAAUAUUAUUAAACUAGGUUAUAUUAUCUUAA